rnacentral:rRNA from 1 species
AUUGAACGCUGGCGGCAGGCCUAACACAUGCAAGUCGAACGAGUGGCGGACGGGUGAGUAAUGUCUGGGAACCUGCCCGAUGGAGGGGGAUAACUACUGGAAACGGUAGCUAAUACCGCAUACCAUCGGAUGUGCCCAGAUGGGAUUAGCUAGUAGGUGGGGUAACGGCUCACCUAGGCGACGAUCCCUAGCUGGUCUGAGAGGGUGACCAGCCACAAUGGAACUGAGACACGGCCCAGACUCCUACGGGAGGCAGCAGUGGGGAAUAUUGGACAAUGGGCGCAAGCCUGAUAGAGCCAUGCGGAGUGUGUGAAGAAGGCAUUCGGGUUGUAAAGUACUUUCGGCAAGAAAGCGGUACUCGAAGAAUAAGCACCGGCUAACUACGUGCCAGCAGCCGGGGUAAUAC